CAGUCGCCGCGGUAACACGAAGGGUGCAAGCGUUACUCGGAAUUACUGGGCGUAAAGCGUGCGUAGGUGGUGGUUUAAGUCCGUUGUGAAAGCCCUGGGCUCAACCUGGGAAUUGCAGUGGAUACUGGGUCACUAGAGUGUGGUAGAGGAUAGUGGAAUUUCCGGUGUAGCAGUGAAAUGCGUAGAGAUCGGAAGGAACAUCUGUGGCGAAGGCGACUAUCUGGGCCAACACUGACACUGAGGCACGAAAGCGUGGGGAGCAAACAGGAUUAGAUACCCGCGUAGUCCCUGUCUCUUAUAC
rnacentral:rRNA from 1 species